rnacentral:rRNA from 1 species
AUUGAACGCUGGCGGCAUGCCUUACACAUGCAAGUCGAACGGUAACAGGUCUUCGGAUGCUGACGAGUGGCGAACGGGUGAGUAAUACAUCGGAACGUGCCUAGUAGUGGGGGAUAACUACUCGAAAGAGUGGCUAAUACCGCAUGAGAUCUACGGAUGAAAGCAGAGGAUCGCAAGACCUUGUGCUACUAGAGCGGCCGAUGGCAGAUUGGGUAGUUGGUGGGAUAAAAGCUUACCAAGCCGACGAUCUGUAGCUGGUCUGAGAGGACGAUCAGCCACACUGGGACUGAGAAACGGCCCAGACUCCUACGGGAGGCAGCAGUGGGGAAUUUUGGACAAUGGGCGCAAGCCUGAUCCAGCAAUGCCGCGUGCAGGAUGAAGGCCUUCGGGUUGUAAACUGCUUUUGUACGGAACGAAAAGCCCCGGGUUAAUACCCUGGGGUCAUGACGGUACCGUAAGAAUAAGCACCGGCUAACUACGUGCCAGCCGCCGCGGUAA